GUGCUCGCUUUGGCNGCACAUAUACUAAAAUUGGAAUGAUACAGAGAAGCUUAGCACGGCCCCUGCACAAGGAUGACACUCAAAUUCGUGAAAUGUUCCAUAUUUUU
rnacentral:snRNA from 1 species